rnacentral:rRNA from 1 species
AUGUUUUUCUAUCUAGGCUACUUAAUUUUGAUUGUAAUUCGUAGGAUCCCUUUGCACUGUUCCAUGCAAAAAUUCCCAUUCAUGCAAAUGUCUUGUAAGAACUCUGCGUUCUCCCUACGGUGUAUCAGACACCCUUUGGUGCAAACCCUAGGAUUUCCAAUCCUUUAUGGCCAAGGAAGACAUGCCAUUGCAAUUAUGGUUUUCAUAUUCCUCUAUGGAAUCUUUGAAAUCAAAGAUACCCUUAAGUUUGCAAUUUCCCUAUCAGAUCAAUCUGCCUACACAUUUGUGCAACAGCAAAGCCUUUCAGUCCCAAACAAGUUGGGGUAA